GACAGACAGACGGAGGCAGACACACAAUGACAUGGCUAUGGAGGCAAACAGAAAUACAUAGAUGGAGACAGAAGUACAAAUAGACAAUGACAUGAUGGAUGCAAAUCUGUCCCUGAGAGUGACUAAUCACAAGACAAAUAUGGAAGGGAAGGAGACAAGGAAAAUAUGAAAGGGAAGGAGAAAAGGAAAAUAUGAAAGGGAAGGAGACAAGAAUAAGAUGGAAGGAAGGGAAGGUGACAAGAAAAAUGUGGAACGGAAGAAGACAAGAAAAAUAUGGAAGGAAGCGAAGGAGACAAGAAAAAUACAUAAGGGAAGGAGACAAGAAAAAGAUGCAAGGAAGAGAACAAAACAAGUAAAAGAGCAAAGUAUGUUUGGUUGGGGGGAGCAGAAAGACGAAGAAAGAACAAGAUUUUUUGAAAAUUAGGCUAGGAAAAGUAGCAGGUAGUCAUUAUGAGGAGCAGGUCGUCAUUAUGAGUAGCAGGUCGUCAUUAUGAGGAGCAGGUAGUCAUUAUGAGGAGCAGGUCGUCAUUAUGAGGAGCAGGUAGUCAUUAUGAGGAGCAGGUGGUCAUUAUGAGGAGCAGGUAGUCAUUAUGAGUAGCAGGUCGUCAUUAUGAGGAGCAGGUAGUCAUUAUGAGGAGCAGGUAGUCAUUAUGAGGAGCAGGUAGUCAUUAUGAGGAGCAGGUGGUCAUUAUGAGGAGCAGGUGGUCAUUAUGAGGAGCAGGUACUCAUUAUGAGGAGCAGGUAGUCAUUAUGAGGAGCAGGUGGUCAUUAUGAGGAGCAGGUAGUCAUUAUGAGGAGCAGGUAGUCAUUAUGAGGAGCAGGUAGUCAUUAUGAGGAGCAGGUGGUCAUUAUGAGGAGCAGGUGGUCAUUAUGAGGAGCAGGUGGUCAUUAUGAGGAGCAGGUGGUCAUUAUGAGGAGCAGGUAGUCAUUAUGAGGAGCAGGUAGUCAUUAUGAGGAGCAGGUGGUCAUUAUGAGGAGCAGGUAGUCAUUAUGAGGAGCAGGUAGUCAUUAUGAGGAGCAGGUAGUCAUUAUGAGGAGCAGGUAGUCAUUAUGAGGAGCAGGUGGUCAUUAUGAGGAGCAGGUAGUCAUUAUGAGGAGCAGGUAGUCAUUAUGAGGAGCAGGUAGUCAUUAUGAGGAGCAGGUAGUCAUUAUGAGGAGCAGGUAGUCAUUAUGAGGAGCAGGUAGUCACUAUGAGGAGCAGGUAGUCAUUAUGAGGAGCAGGUAGUCACUAUGAGGAGCAGGUAGUCAUUAUGAGGAGCAGGUAGUCAUUAUGAGGAGCAGGUCGUCAUUAUGAGUAGCAGGUCGUCCCAUUCAGAGCACAUGGAAGCAAAGCAUAUGGCCACUUUACAACCUCACAGUAGAAACAAAGAACAAAACAGAAUAGGCAACAAGUAAAAUAAAAACAUGCAACUACACAAGACAGUGUAGUCUAAUAAUGACCAUUAA